UACAGCAGAGUGUUUUAGUACUCUGCGGACGGACCAUAGUGUUUUUUACAGCCUCCUCCUCUCUCGCUGUUUAUCUUGGAGUGAAUGGAUGUCAGGCGCUUGUUGAAUAUUUACAGCGGCCAUUAGAGUCUCUGCUCAAUGAAAAACACAACAGAACAAACUAUGGAGUCCAAUCCAUCAUCUGAACAUGGCGAGAGGAUGGACCAACUGCAGACCUAUCAAGACAUGGAUGUCCUCCUAAGCUGACAGGUUGGGCAAAGAGAGCAUUAAUCAGAGAGGCAGCCAAGAGGACCAUGGUGAGUCUAGAGGAGCUGUAGAGAUUCACAGCUCAGGUGGAAGAAUCUGUCAACGGGACAUAGCCAUGCACUCUACAACUCUGGCCUUCACGGAACAGGUGCAAGAAGAAAGCCAAAGUCCUGUUUGCAGUUUGACUAAGCCAGUUUGACUUACCCUAAACCAGGAGUUAUUUGGAAGAAGGUGCUGCGAUCUGAGGAGAUGUGUGGUGGAAACGAACUCCGCCUUACUUAUGCAAUCAGCUUCAAUCGGCCCACCUGCACCAUGUCAAUCAGCUUUUGUUUUUCACCUGUGUCUCGCCACACAUAGACACCCUUAUUCUGUUCAUUACGGAUCACUUUUCUCUAUCACCUGUUCAUGCCAAGCCUGUCUUGCCUGCCUGUCCAUGCCUGUUUUUGCCAUCCCCUGCUGAAGGGAGUUUCAUUUAUUAAAUCUUUUU